AGCAGCCGCGGUAAUUCCAGCUCCAAUAGCGUAUAUUAAAGUUGUUGCAGUUAAAAAGCUCGUAGUUGAAUUUUAGGCCUGGCCGGGCGGUCCGUCUUUGGCGAGUACUGUUCUGUGUCGGGUCUUACCUUCUGGUGAAACCGGCAUUUUCUGAAGCGAGUGUGUCGGGGAGCCAGGACCAUUACCUUGAAAAAAUUAGAGUGUUUAAAGCAGGCAUUUGCUUGAAUAGAUUAGCAUGGAAUAAUAAAAUAGGACGUUGGUUCUAUUUUGUUGGUCUAGGACCACCGUAAUGAUUAAUAGGGAUAGUUGGGGGCAUUAGUAUUCAAUUGUCAGAGGUGAAAUUCUUGGAUUUAUUGAAGACUAACUAUUGCGAAAGCAUUUGCCAAGGAUGUUUUCAUUAAUCAAGAACGAAAGUUAGGGGAUCGAAGACGAUCAGAUACCGUCGUAGUCUUAACCAUAAACUAUGCCGACUAGGAAUCGGGCGACGUUAUUUUCAUGACUCGCUCGGCGCCUUAUGGGA
rnacentral:rRNA from 1 species